GUUAAGGUAAGGGUAGCAGUUAAAUAAAGGUGUAAAAAAUAGGUACAAAGCUGUUUCUGCGAGCUAGCUUGUUACAAUGCUAACUAGUGUGUAAGGAUAACAUUACAAGUGAUACAUUAAUUGUCAUUUAUGCCAAGUUCUUACUAGUUAGCUAUUCCCUGUACAAUGUAAUAGGGGACUUUUCGGGCUGCGUUUGUUGGCUAUGUUGCAGCAGGCUGUCACAAGCAUUCCACUGAUAAGAAUGAUUAUUUCCUAAGUUAUCUUUGAACAGUUAGGAGGGUUCAAAGAAAACCAAUUGACGGACCUUGUUCCAGUUGUAAUUAACAAUUCUGAAGGAGACCCCAAACUCCCAAUGGAAUAUUGAGGAUCACAUCAAAACCAAAUGUAGCCUACUUUCCUUUCAGAUUUUUUAUGGUGUUCCCACUGAUUGAUAUGUGAUGUUGUGUGUGUGCUUAAUGCCUAAUAUUACUGGAAAUGUGUUUUUGUUUUGUUUUUGUGUGUAUUGAUAGUGCCCAACAUUAGCCUUUAAUUGCUAAAGCCCCACUUCCUGUAUAUUUUGCUGGAGUUCAACAUCAUCAUGAUCAGGGGUAACAGUGGGUUGAAGCCCAAAGACAAUGAAAUUAACCCUAAACCCUGGCCAAUCAACUACCAGGUUAGCAUGUUGAAUACUUCAGUGUGGUUUGACAGUCCCAUAAAAAUAUUAACUUAUCACUGUGCCUUUGUUCUGUUUCUGUAAGGGGAUAGAGGUUCUCAGGAGUGAAUGAGACGGAAUACUGUGUCUACCUGUUAGGGAAUCCUGUGAUCUGGUGGCUGAACCUGGUCAGUCUAGGCCUGUAUGUGGUUAUGGUGGCAGCAGCCUCUCUGGCCUGCCGCAGAGGAGUCCAGCUGGACAAGAGAAACGUAGGUAGGAGGAUUUAGAACUUCCCUGUCACUGUCAUGAGUAACUUAUUUUGAGUACCUCAUUCUAACGCUGAUGUGUAUGUGUAGAGUUGUUGCGUGUUGAUGGAAGGUGGAGGACUGCUGCUCCUGGGAUGGCUGCUGCACUACGUACCCUGCUGCACUACGUACCCUUCUACACCACGUACCCUUCUACACCACAGGACGCAUCCUUUACUACCACCACUACUUCCCUGCCAUGCUCUUCAGCAGCAUGCUAACAGAUACAGUGGGCCUACCACAAAAACACAUGCUCCCCAUAAUUCCCCCGGUCAUGUAGACCAACUCAGUGGCCUUGUGAUUAGUAUCGGUCCUUGGAGUGGAAGGUUGGGAGUUCGAUUCAUACCAAAAGACAAAAAAUGUGAUCCGAAACGUCUCUGCCUGGAGCCACCACAGCAUCAAUGAGAUCGAUUGGGGGUAAGGCCAUCAAGCUGCCUCAUGCUGCAGAAACAGGAGGUAGGCUCCUGCUCCAAUGAGCUGUUCUGGCUCGCACAAGGCUACUUACAGUUGAAGUCGGAAGUUUACAUACACUUAGGUUGGAGUUAUUAAAAUUCGUUUUUCAACC